AACGAACGCUGGCGGCAUGCCUAACACAUGCAAGUCGAACGAGACCUUCGGGUCUAGUGGCGCACGGGUGCGUAACGCGUGGGAACCUGCCCUUAGGUUCGGAAUAACUCCCCGAAAGGGGUGCUAAUACCGGAUAAUGUCUUCGGUCCAAGGAUUUAUCGCCUUUGGAUGGGCCCGCGUUGGAUUAGCUAGUUGGUAGGGUAAAAGCCUACCAAGGCGACGAUCCAUAGCUGGUCUGAGAGGAUGAUCAGCCACACUGGGACUGAGACACGGCCCAGACUCCUACGGGAGGCAGCAGUGGGGAAUAUUGGACAAUGGGCGAAAGCCUGAUCCAGCAAUGCCGCGUGAGUGAUGAAGGCCUUAGGGUUGUAAAGCUCUUUUACCCGGGAUGAUAAUGACAGUACCGGGAGAAUAAGCUCCGGCUAACUCCGUG
rnacentral:rRNA from 1 species